UCUUCAUAGUACAGGUCCCGCCGUCUCCGUAAAGCUCAGCUCCACCUGCAGGAGGUGUCCUGGGCUGCAGACAGGUCGGACCUAUGUGUUGAUGGGGAAGGUGGACUCCCAGGGUGGAGGACUGCUGACGCCCUCCAGCUUCACUCUCCUCUAUAAGCCCGCCCACGCCAAGGCGCUGGCCAAUUACGUCCGGAAGACCUGCUGACAUCACUGGCCUGGUCACAGAGAAGCAAUGCUGUCCCUACCUCACCUUUACACUUAAAUAGAGGGGAAAUAGGGUCAUAAACAUCCUGUAUGAAUGACUAAGGGUAGAAAUACUGACGUCAACAAUAUGAAAACGUUUUAGAACGUAAAGAGAGAAAUAAACGUAACAGAAGAUAUUAGAAGAUAUUUUGUAUGUACAUUUUAUUUCUGUGAUUAAACGAUGCAUAUCAUUUAUCGAAAGGCAGUGGUUGGUGUCUAAUAUCUUCACCGUUAACUUUAACAAUGUUCAUACAUUGUAUCAGAUUUAACUUAAAACAUUGAAAGAUUCUUUCUCGCCACGUAAACAGUAACAUAAAUAUAAACAAAACAAUUCAAGCUAAAAUUCCAAACUCUCCCUACUGCAAAA